UCAGGUUUCUUGAGAUAAAGUAUUUUCCAAAUAACUAUCUGCCAUCUUCAAAAAAUUUCAUUUCUCAUUAAUCCAGCUGUUCUCAUAGGAAAGUGAGCUACUCACCUGUACAUCUCCAACGUUUACAAGUACCUUUCAGUUGCUGCAGAAAUGCUGCAAUAUAUAUGUCAUGCUUUAGCUCUGAGAGUAAAGUCAGUUCUUCAAGAAAAAGAAAAAGCCACUUCUUAACACACUGAUAACAUAAAUUCACCUCUCUGUACAAGGGGAGAUGUGAAGAGAGACAAAUAUAUGUAUUUUCCUCACUUCUUUCUUUGACUCUGUUCACUUUUUAGAGAAGACCUCUCCUCAUGCUGCAGUGCAUGAUGAUUUUGUACAAGGUGAAAAUAAUCCACCAAGACUCUGAAGUGUAGCUAGAAAGCAACAGAAAUGAAAUAAACUUCUCCUGAGUGAUGAGGUGAAGAGAUUGGGACACAUUUAAUAAUGACUGCAAUACUUGAAAUCUACAAGUGCUCAGCACUCAAAACUCCAAUUAAAAACUACAAGUGCUCCGCACCUCUUAAAGGCUGA
rnacentral:lncRNA from 1 species